rnacentral:rRNA from 1 species
GAUGAACGCUGGCGGCGUGCCUAAUACAUGCAAGUCGAGCGAACGGACGAGAAGCUUGCUUUUCUGAUGUUAGCGGCGGACGGGUGAGUAACACGUGGAUAACCUACCUAUAAGACUGGGAUAACUUCGGGAAACCGGAGCUAAUACCGGAUAAUAUUUUGAACCGCAUGGUUCAAAAGUGAAAGACGGUCUCGCUGUCACUUAUAGAUGGAUCCGCGCUGCAUUAGCUAGUUGGUAAGGUAACGGCUUACCAAGGCAACGAUGCAUAGCCGACCUGAGAGGGUGAUCGGCCAAACUGGAACUGAGACACGGUCCAGACUCCUACGGGAGGCAGCAGUAGGGAAUCUUCCGCAAUGGGCGAAAGCCUGACGGAGCAACGCCGCGUGAGUGAUGAAGGUCUUCGGAUCGUAAAACUCUGUUAUUAGGGAAGAACAUAUGUGUAAGUAACUGUGCACAUCUUGACGGUACCUAAUCAGAAAGCCACGGCUAACUACGUG